GUUGAUCCGAAUCAACGGAACAGCCUGCUCGUGAAAUUAACGUGUAAGUGUCUGAGCACUCCACAGACAUGUGCACCCUUAACGUAGUUCUCGGGGAAAUUCAGCGUGACACAGAAUGUAACAAGAUUGGCUAUUUGAAUUAUAGGCACAACAGAAACAGUAAGAAA
rnacentral:lncRNA from 1 species